GCUGGGCAGCACAGUUGGGAGAGUUAUACUGAAGCUCUUAAGGUCCCUGGUUCGAUCCUGGGUUUCAGCA